GGCACAGUGGCAGCAGACACUUGUCACGUGGCAGGCUUCUGGGCCGAUGAUGUAUGACCUGCUGGUGCUACUGAAUGGUGCCCUUUGUUCCCGGAGAUCCCAUGUGCCCCCUUUUUAUGAAGUUGUUGAUUCAGAGGGGCAGGAAAGCUCCACAAAUCCCACUGCAGGCCUAGCUCUUGCCAUGCCCAGGUUACCAGCUGCAAAAAAGGAGCCCCCUUCCCUGUUCGCUGGACCAAGAAGCCCAAGGUGGGAGCCAGCAGCUCAGGGAGGAAGGAACUUGGCCUCUAUUUGCAGGACGAAAUCCAGCCAGAGACCCCAGAGCCAGGUGGGAAGACUCCGACAACAGGAGAUAGGGCUGACUUCUUAGCCAGCAGGAAAUCUCUGCGUCCUGAGAGGAUGAGGAUUAAAAGGCACCCUUCCCCUGGCCUCUCUUCUCCUGGCUUCCAGACUUGGUGAGGUGAACCCAGAGUGGAUUUCAGCUCAUUCUUUAUCUCUCCAUCUUGUGGCCCAGCUUCGGGGACCUAGCAAAGGACUGGACAAGAAAAGGGCUUUGCCAGGAUUUGACUCAGCCUUUCUGGCAUGGAGACAGCUGAUGG